GGUAGUAUUCGACAUAGUCCGGCUCUAGCUCAUUAAAACUAUUCACCACCACACCAUAGCUCUGACACUCCGACUCAAUGGCUUGGCUGAUCAACAAGGCCAAAGGAGGAUCAAAUGUCGAGAGGUCUGGAAUCUGGUCCCUAAGCAUCUCGAUCCGAUGUGGAAGGCCCGGGAGGACAAAGGACUGAGCAUCAGGUGGCAAGCUAUCAAGUGGCUUGUGGCGUAGUAAUGUGUCUUGAGCACAUAAGGCGAAGAAGGACGUCCCGUGGAACAC
rnacentral:misc_RNA from 1 species